AGCUUCGGUGCAACCCGAAAAAGAAUA
rnacentral:tRNA from 1 species